rnacentral:rRNA from 1 species
GACGAACGCUGGCGGCGUGCCUAAUACAUGCAAGUCGAGCGAGACUCUUCGGAGUCUAGCGGCGGACGGGUGAGUAACACGUGGGCAACCUGCCUGUAAGACUGGGAUAACACCGGGAAACCGGUGCUAAUACCGGAUAAUCCUUUUCCUCUCAUGAGGGAAAGCUGAAAGUCGGUUUCGGCUGACACUUACAGAUGGGCCCGCGGCGCAUUAGCUAGUUGGUGAGGUAACGGCUCACCAAGGCGACGAUGCGUAGCCGCCCUGAGAGGGUGAUCGGCCACACUGGGACUGAGACACGGCCCAGACUCCUACGGGAGGCAGCAGUAGGGAAUCUUCCACAAUGGACGAAAGUCUGAUGGAGCAACGCCGCGUGAGCGAUGAAGGCCUUCGGGUCGUAAAGCUCUGUUGUUAGGGAAGAACAAGUACCGGAGUAACUGCCGGUACCUUGACGGUACCUAACCAGAAAGCCACGGCUAACUACGUGCCAGCAGCCGCAGUAACAC